rnacentral:rRNA from 1 species
AGAAUAGGCAGGUGACUAGGAAUAGCAGCGGCUACGUCGUGCAGCAGGCGGGGUAAUACGAUGUACAGCGUUACUCGAAUCACUGGGCGUAAUGGCGCGUAGGCCGAAUAUCAAGUCUCUGUGUAAUCUAAUGGCUUAACCAUUAAACUGCUUGGGAAACUGAUAGUCUAGAGUGAGGGAGAGGCAGAUGGAAUGGGUGGUGUAGUGGGUAAAAUCCGUAGAUAUCACCAAGAAUACCCAUUGCGAAGGCGAUCUGCUGGAACUCCACCUGACGCUAAGGCGCGAAAGCGUGGGGAGCAAACAAGGAUUAGAUACCCUGGUAGUCCACGCCCUAAACGAUGUACACUAGUUGUUGGGGUGCUAGUCAUCUCAGUAAUGCAGCUAACGCAUUAAGUGUACCGCCUGGGGAGUACGGUCGCAAGAUUAAAACUCAAAGGAAUAGACGGGGACCCGCACAAGCGGUGGAGCAUGUGGUUUAAUUCGAAGAUACGCGAAGAACCUUACCUGGGCUUGAUAUCCUAAGAACCUUUUAGAGAUAAGAGGGUGCUAGCUUGCUAGAACUUAGAGACAGGUGCUGCACGGCUGUCGUCAGCUCGUGUCGUGAGAUGUUGGGUUAAGUCCCGCAACGAGCGCAACCCACGUAUUUAGUUGCUAACGGUUCGGCCGAGCACUCUAAAUAGACUGCCUUCGUAAGGAGGAGGAAGGUGUGGACGACGUCAGCAUCAUGCCUUCGAUCCUUCUUAAGU